GUGGGGAAUAUUGGACAAUGGGGGGAACCCUGAUCCAGCCAUGCCGCGUGUGUGAAGAAGGCCUUAUGGUUGUAAAGCACUUUAAGCGAGGAGGAGGGUACUGGUAUUAAUACUACCAGCUACUGGACGUUACUCGCAGAAUAAGCACCGGCUAACUCUGUGCCAGCAGCCGCGGUAAUACAGAGGGUGCGAGCGUUAAUCGGAUUUACUGGGCGUAAAGCGUGCGUAGGCGGCUAAUUGAGUCGGAUGUGAAAUCCCCGAGCUUAACUUGGGAAUUGCAUUCGAUACUGGUUAGCUAGAGUGUGGGAGAGGAUGGUAGAAUUCCAGGUGUAGCGGUGAAAUGCGUAGAGAUCUGGAGGAAUACCGAUGGCGAAGGCAGCCAUCUGGCCUAACACUGACGCUGAGGUACGAAAGCAUGGGGAGCAAACAGGAUUAGAAACCCUGGUAGUCC
rnacentral:rRNA from 1 species